rnacentral:rRNA from 1 species
CAGUCGCCGCGGUAAUACGAAGGGGGCUAGCGUUGCUCGGAAUUACUGGGCGUAAAGCGUGCGCAGGCGGUUUUGUAAGACAGAGGUGAAAUCCCCGGGCUCAACCUGGGAACUGCCUUUGUGACUGCAAGGCCGGAGCGCGGCAGAGGGGGAUGGAAUUCCGCGUGUAGCAGUGAAAUGCGUAGAUAUGCGGAGGAACACCGAUGGCGAAGGCAAUCCCCUGGGCCUGCACUGACGCUCAUGCACGAAAGCGUGGGGAGCAAACAGGAUUAGAUACCCCCGUAGUCCCUGUCUCUUAUAC